UGGGGAAUAUUGCGCAAUGGGGGCAACCCUGACGCAGCAACGCCGCGUGCAGGAAGAAGGUCUUCGGAUUGUAAACUGUUGUCGCAAGGGAAGAAGACAGUGACGGUACCUUGUGAGAAAGUCACGGCUAACUACGUGCCAGCAGCCGCGGUAAUACGUAGGUGACAAGCGUUGUCCGGAUUUACUGGGUGUAAAGGGCGCGUAGGCGGAUAAGCAAGUCAGUCGUGAAAUACCGAGGCUCAACCUCGGGGCUGCGAUUGAAACUGUUUACCUUGAGUAUCGGAGAGGAAAGCGGAAUUCCUAGUGUAGCGGUGAAAUGCAUAGAUAUUAGGAGGAACACCAGUGGCGAAGGCGGCUUUCUGGACGACAACUGACGCUGAGGCGCGAAAGUGUGGGGAGCAAACAGG
rnacentral:rRNA from 1 species